rnacentral:rRNA from 1 species
CAGCAGCCACGGUAAUACGAAGGGGGCUAGCGUUGUUCGGAUUUACUGGGCGUAAAGCGCACGUAGGCGAUCGAUCAGUCAGGGGUGAAAUCCCAGAGCUCAACUCUGGAACUGCCUUUGAUACUGUCGAUCUGGAGUAUGGAAGAGGUGAGUGGAAUUCCGAGUGUAGAGGUGAAAUUCGUAGAUAUUCGGAGGAACACCAGUGGCGAAGGCGGCUCACUGGUCCAUUACUGACGCUGAUGCACGAAAGCUAGGGGAGCAAACAGGAUUAGAUACCCCCGUAGUCCCUGUCUCUUAUACA